AGUGAACGCUGGCGGUAGGCCUAACACAUGCAAGUCGAACGGCAGCACAGUAAGAGCUUGCUCUUACGGGUGGCGAGUGGCGGACGGGUGAGGAAUACAUCGGAAUCUACUUUUUCGUGGGGGAUAACGUAGGGAAACUUACGCUAAUACCGCAUACGACCUACGGGUGAAAGCAGGGGAUCUUCGGACCUUGCGCGAUUGAAUGAGCCGAUGUCGGAUUAGCUAGUUGGCGGGGUAAAGGCCCACCAAGGCGACGAUCCGUAGCUGGUCUGAGAGGAUGAUCAGCCACACUGGAACUGAGACACGGUCCAGACUCCUACGGGAGGCAGCAGUGGGGAAUAUUGGACAAUGGGCGCAAGCCUGAUGCAGCCAGACCGCGUGGGUGAAGAAGGCCUUCGGGUUGUAAAGCCCUUUUGUUGGGAAAGAAAAGCAGCAGGUUAAUACCCCGCUGUUCUGACGGUACCCAAAGAAUAAGCACCGGCUAACUUCGUG
rnacentral:rRNA from 1 species